AGACUUUUAAUCUGAGGGUCCAGGG
rnacentral:piRNA from 4 species